rnacentral:rRNA from 1 species
UACGUAGGUCCCGAGCGUUGUCCGGAUUUAUUGGGCGUAAAGCGAGCGCAGGUGGGUUAUUAAGUCUGGUGUAAAAGGCAGUGGCUCAACCAUUGUAUGCAUUGGAAACUGGUAGACUUGAGUGCAGGAGAGGAGAGUGGAAUUCCAUGUGUAGCGGUGAAAUGCGUAGAUAUAUGGAGGAACACCGGUGGCGAAAGCGGCUCUCUGGCCUGUAACUGACACUGAGGCUCGAAAGCGUGGGGAGCAAACAGG